UUAUAUAUACUUGUAUACCAAAUCAUGUAAAUUCAUAAGAACAAAAUGGAGUCUUCAAGGUAUUCCGUUGCCAAAGUGACAUUCUUAUUAGCUUUUAUCAUCAUGGCUUCAGAAAUGGGCAUGAAAUUAUCAGAAGCAAGGGGACCCAUUGCGCGACUACCUUGUGACAACGACAAGGAGUGUCAAGUUGGAUGUCGAAAUCCGUUUUGUGGUUGCGGAUCCGUAUGUAUUAACAAUGUGUGUCAGUGUCCGCCACCAAUUUCUACUAAUAAUGUUCCUAAUAGAGCUCCACACCCCUAAAAUGGCUGCUCCUUCCGAUGCAAUGUUCUUCAUAAUAAAUUAUUGCAUCUCUUUCUGUACCCAAUUGUUUCGUCAUCAAUAUUAAUAAAACUCUAGCCUUACUCUUUGCUUUUUUCUUGAUUAA